rnacentral:pre_miRNA from 1 species
UAAUGAUCUUGUUGUUGAUGAUGAUAGAGAUGAUGUUGAUGAUGAUGAUAAUCAUUAUCGUCAUCAUCAUCGUCGUCAUCAGCAUCAUCAGGAUUG